rnacentral:rRNA from 1 species
AUGGGGGGCGGUCGCCGCUGCCGCAAGAAUUCCCGGAGGGGAUCCCCGCCGGCGGCCGAGAUUGACGUCCUCCUGGACGAUCUUCUCGAGCUGGUGUUCCUGCGCCUCCCCUCGCCUGCCAACCUCGUCCGCGCGGCGAGCACCUGCAAGCGCUGGCGCCGCGUAAUCGCGGGCGACGGGGGCGGCCUCCUCCGCCGGUACGGCACUCUCCACGGUGCAUCCGACGACGUUGUCGGCCACUACUGCGUGGACGACUGCGACGGGCACCCGUACCGGCGUCGGCCUAGCCUUGACCCCGUCUUUGUCCCCUCCCCCUCCUCCUCUUCGCCGUGGGCCGACACCGUCGCCGCUCGGAAUCUAGCGCUCGAUUUCCUCCCGCGGGGGGAAUUCGGAGAUUCCCGCUGGGAACUCGCCGACAUCCGGGGCGGCCUCCUGCUCGUCUUCGACAGGGCAGUGGCGCCACGCCUCCUCAUCUGCGAUCCCCUGAGGCGAUGCUACAGGGAAAUCCCUCGCUCGGCGUGGUUCCACGGCUGCCACCUGCUGGGUGCUUUCCUCCUCGACGGCGAGGACGCGGACGCGGGCAUCAGCAUGUCAAACUUCAGGGUGAGCUGCAUGCUCUAUUGCUUUCGGAACCGCAACGGAUCUGUGAAGUUCAGGUUUUGGAGUAGAGGGAGCGACGACGGGUCCGCCGACUGGACGGUCGGAGACAACAUUCUUCUUUCUCUGGACAAGGACGCCGCCGAGCUUACCUGUUUUCUCGUGGUGGACGACGAGGAGUACGCCGCGCUCCGGGAGAAGCGCCACCCCACGGGGUACCCGUACCAGAUGCCGUGGCCACCUACGAUCCAAGCUUGCUUGUCCUAG